AAUGUGGGAUGACACUUGGUGACUUUAGUCGCAUUAGCUAUGUGAACACAAAAAUCAUGGACAUGAUUCAGAUAUGUUAAAGGGUCAGGAUAAAGGGUGAGCUCCUUCGCUGUUAAAAAUGGCCGCUAUAGGAAAUUAAUGGGAAUUAAGAAAACAUACAAAAACUCUGAGAAUCCUUUGGUGGUACAAACUACAAAUCAACCACUGUGCAGGAAAAAGUUUUUGCAAAUGUGAAAUAAUCAAGAAUUCAGCCACUAUGCAGGAAAAAACAGCAAGUAAGAAGUUUACACACACACACACACAAAUGAACUGGUGUGGCUGUAACAAUUAUGGUAACACUGAGCCAAAAGACUCCAAUAAGAGGUUGAAAUCAGAUCUGAUUCUGACCCAGAUUGAUUGAUGUAACCCGGGUAAACCAGCCCAGUAAAGAAAAAAAAGUUAAGAAAAAAAAAAAAAAAAAAAAAAAAAAAAAUCUAGAAGAAAAAGAGAUUCAUCCAAUCACUGAUCGUGCUGCAGUGAGAGACACCCCUAAGAGCUAAUAGUAGCGGCGCAUUCAUAAGUCCCGCCCACUGGUCGCGCCGGCGCUGCUUUCAGCGUAAGCACAUGAGAGAGAGUCAGAGCAGAUCAGCACAGACCGUUUCUCCUGAAAAUCCAUUGAUCUAACUGGAAAUGUGAUUGAGUCACUGAAAGUGGAACUUUUGAAGUCGAUGCGUCAGCCUGAAGUGUUGUGGUCGGAGACAGAGAAGAGUGAGACGGAGCGGAUCCCAGAGUGUUGAAACACUACCCUGCUGCCCAAAGGAAAAGGACAGUGAUGAGUAUCAAGCACAACCUUGACAGAGACUCAGAAGAGGCUGAAAAAAUGGAGGAAAACAAAAAAUUGAGAAAUGACAACAAAAAAAGCUACCAAAUCUGAUAAAUGAAGUGAAUAUGGCCCUGAAGUCUCAGUGUUCAUCAGCAUCAGUCAGCUCUUACUUGGAAGAUGGGACAGGGUUUGCCACAGAGUAAUUAGAGUCCUUCCAACAGAACAGGAGCAACGUUGCAUUAAGUGUCCUCAUGUGGUGCCUGCCAGCACUGGUGCAACCAUCAAUGCCAAACUUACUGAAAUUAGAGGGAAGAAAACACAAAAACAUCCGAAAACCUUAAUGGUCUUUGAUAAUUGUUAGCUGUGACAGUGUGUUUGAGGUGUUUUGUUGUUGUUGUUGUUGGUGUGUGUGUGUGUGUGUGUGUGUGUGUGUUUUGCCUUCGCAAAGUUCAGUUUGAUAACAAGUUGUAAUUCUAAAUUACUCUUGUGGAGUAUAAUUUGAUUGUGUCUCUUUGAUCGUUGAAAUAAAAGUAUUUCUGAUGCAAAUUUGUGCAAGUAAUUGACUGAAAUCAUAAAUGAUUUGUAUAUGCAGAGAUAUUGUAAUAUUGACUAAAAUCAUAUAAGAUAAUUAUAUGUAGAGA